ACUCAAAUGAAUUGACGGGGACCCGCACAAGCAGUGGAGUAUGUGGUUUAAUUCGAAGCAACGCGAAGAACCUUACCAGCUCUUGACAUCCCAAUGAAAGCAGCAGAGAUGUUGCCCCUCUUCGGAGCAUUGGAGACAGGUGGUGCAUGGUUGUCGUCAGCUCGUGUCGUGAGAUGUUGGGUUAAGUCCCGCAACGAGCGCAACCCUUGAUCUUAGUUGCCAGCAAUUCGGUUGGGCACUCUAAGGUGACUGCCGGUGACAAACCGGAGGAAGGUGGGGAUGACGUCAAAUCAUCAUGCCCCUUAUGAGCUGGGCUACACACGUACUACAAUGGUCGGUACAACGGGAAGCGAAGUCGCGAGAUGGAGCCAAUCCUAUAAAAGCCGAUCUCAGUUCGGAUUGCAGGCUGCAACUCGCCUGCAUGAAGUCGGAAUUGCUAGUAAUCGCGGAUCAGCAUGCCGCGGUGAAUACGUUCCCGGGUCUUGUACACACCGCCCGU
rnacentral:rRNA from 1 species